UAUCAAUAUAUCAAUAUAAAGGAAUGCACAAACCUGAUGAGGUGGCGCUCUCUAACAUCAUUUUAAUCUAUAUACUUAUUUAUAAUCACUCAAACAUAUUCUAUCUUUUUUCAUAUUUUCUUUCUUUUUUUAAGUCAAUGUUAAUUAAUAUAUCAUAAAAAUCCUAACGUUCCAACUUUCACAUAAUAUAAUAUUCUAUCCUUUUCACAUUUUCCAAAAUAGUUAAUGUUAAUUAAUAUGAAUUAAUAUAGCAUAAAACCCCUAACGUUCCAACUUAUUUCUAUUCUUUCUUUUCCUCCUAUAUAGUCCCUGAAAAGAAGGAAAAUUUUUAUUCCUUCCUUAUGAGACGCUCAUGGUCCAAUUUGAUUGUCAAAGAGUACACCAAUUUCUAAUUGAUUGUGUUCAGCUUCUCACCUCUCGCCCUCUCAUAUUCCCUCCGUCAUGGACUUCAGCGAUAUUUUGGAUGCAUAGAAGAGGGGCCAAAAUUAUAUCUCUAUGCUAACGAUUACUGUAUGUGAAUUUAGAAUAUUUUUUCAUUUUAUGCUGAUUUCAUUAUUUUUUUUAUCAGGACGAUGUGUUUUAUGUUAAUUUUGAACGUUUUCUAUCUUUUGUUGUUUAUAUCGAUUAUUAUAGGUGAUGAUAACCUAAUCUUACUAUAUAUGCUACUUAAACAAUUUCUAUUGAUAUUGUUUUUUCUCUCUUUCAAGUUUUGCCUGAUUUUAUUUUAUGUAGAAGAGGAUGAAAAAAUAAAGAAAUUGAGAUCAUCUAUGAUGACAAGGUACCUUUUUAUAGCUCCUUCACUCUAUAUAUUUUCAACAAUUUCAUAGCUCAUGUUUAUAUAGAUUAUUAUAUAUGAUGAUCCUAACCUAAUAUUAUUAUAUAUUGUGACUUAAAAAUGUUCUAAUGAUAUUGUUUUUUUUUUUUUGUAUUUUGUCUCUUUCAAUUUUACUUGAUUUUGUUUUCUGUAGAAGAUGAUAAAAAAGAAAAUGAGAUCAUUUCUUAUCACCAGUCUAUUAUUGGUUCUUCACCACAAUAUCUUACAAGGACAUGAGUCAUGCAAUAUGCGGUCUCCAAUUUGCAUGUUUUGUUGUCCAAAGUCUCCAAUUUGUAUCUUUUAUGUCCAAUAUAUCUUACUGAACAUCAUGAUCCCAAUAGUAAGAAGUUUUGGCCAAACGAAGGGAGAAUGAGACUCAUAAAUAAUGAUGGUAGUGAUCUAAUUAUAUAUGUUAGUAUAAACUUAAAAGUGAAUUAUUGUGUUAAAAUGUGAUCAGAAUAAUAUCUUCCUUUUCAUUUGAUUCUUUGACUAAUUUAAUUUAGUUAUGUUCAGUCAAUCUAGGGAUGAGUGUGUUUUGGAUGAAAAGUCACCUUCCUCAAAGUAUCACAACUUUGGAGAGCAACUUUGUUUCUUUUUACAUCAAGGACAAUCCAAAACAUAUAUCCAACAUUUACACCACCUGACUUGCUUUAGGGUGCCAAAAAAUAAAUAAUAACAUGCUCAAUCAUGAAUAAUGAUAUACACCUUAAGUGCUCUUUAGAAAUUUAAAUCAUAUAAAUAAUUAUUCAUUAUAAAUAAUAACAAAAGCCGCGCUGCGCGGUCUUAAAAUAUCUUAAGCUAUAUACAUUUGUUUUAAAAAAAAAAAAGUUUAUGUUUUUAACGAAGGUUAAAUUAGUAAAACACUAAUUAAUUAUUGGACAAAUAAAACUUUAUUUAAAGUUUACAAAUAAAAAACUAUGAUAUUUUUUAAAUGUGAAACUUUUAUAAAGUUAGAUGAUAAAAAAAAAAAUUAAAGUUUCUAAAAAAAAAUAGAAUUGCAUUAAAAUAUAUGAUCCAUCUUAUCAUUCUUAUAGAUUUUUUUAAUUAUUAAUAAUUAAUUUAUUAAAAUAUCUUUUGAAAAAAGUUGAUGAGGUGUAUUUUUUUUCUUAAAAAUUGAUAGUUACUAUUUUUUAAAAAUAAAUUAAUAGUCACUAAUAAUACAUAUAAUUAAAAUAAAAUUUAUAUUGAGAUUC